AUUUUCAGGAAUAUUAACACCAUCCAGAAUGCUAUGGAGAGAAGACACAACUGGAAGCUCCGUGUGGACAAACCUCCUGGACUCUGCCCCACAUAUCUCUUCCCUUGGCUGAUUUGAAUUUUUAGAAGCUGACAGCUGACACGCCCUUCCCUCAUGCAUUUUAUCCUGGGACAAAAUGAGAAGACAUCCUUCAGUUCCCGUUCUGUAUUCCAACAAAACUACCCAUGCCAGCUGGUCUGAAGAGCCCAGUAGGAAGCUGACCCAUGGAAGAAUGCAGUUUCCACAUGCUGUUGACUUCAUCCCCUUACCAUGACCAAACAAU